rnacentral:rRNA from 1 species
UUAUGGGGCUGUGCGACAAGCGGCUGGGCGUCCCCUUUUUUACUUUCCGCCUUCUCCCAACGUCCAUACACACAUCUGUGUGUGUGUGCCGCGGGGUUGCGGAAAUGUGGGGGGCCGCCCGUCGCCUUUGGGGGUUCAUUUUUUUCUCGCGCCGCAUGCGUCUUUUUUGUACGUACGCAGCGCGUGGUUCCCUCAACUCUCGGCAUCCAGGAAUGAAGGAGGGUAGUUCGGGGGAGAACGUACUGGUGCGUCAGAGGUGACCAUUGUAGUCCACACUGCAAACGAUGACACCCAUGAAUUGGGGAGUUUUUGGUCGUGGCAGGGCGCGCGUCGGGCUCCUCUCUUUCUUUUCCAAGAAAAGAGAGUCCCGUCGUCUUGCGAUUCCUUUUGCCGCGCCAAUUGACAUCAAUUUACGUGCAUAUUCUUUUUGGCCGUUCUCCCUCACGGGGGUCGGUCUUU